rnacentral:rRNA from 1 species
CACGCAGUAAACGAUGAUUACUAGGAGUUUGCGAUAUACCGUCAAGCUUCCACAGCGAAAGCGUUAAGUAAUCCACCUGGGGAGUACGCCGGCAACGGUGAAACUCAAAGGAAUUGACGGGGGCCCGCACAAGCGGAGGAACAUGUGGUUUAAUUCGAUGAUACGCGAGGAACCUUACCCGGGAUUGAAAUGUAGACGACGGAUGGUGAAAGCCGUCUUCCCUUCGGGGCGUCUAUGUAGGUGCUGCAUGGUUGUCGUCAGCUCGUGCCGUGAGGUGUCGGCUUAAGUGCCAUAACGAGCGCAACCCACAUCGGUAGUUGCUAACAGGUUUAGCUGAGGACUCUACCGAGACUGCCGUCGUAAGGCGUGAGGAAGGUGUGGAUGACGUCAAAUCAGCACGGCCCUUACAUCCGGGGCGACACACGUGUUACAAUGGGAGGGACAAAGGGCAGCUACCGGGCGACCGGGUGCGAAUCUCGAAACCCUUCCCCAGUUCGGAUCGGAGUCUGCAACUCGACUCCGUGAAGCUGGAUUCGCUAGUAAUCGCGCAUCAACCAUGGCGCGGUGAAUAC